rnacentral:tRNA from 1 species
UCCCUGUGGCUCAGAUGGUAAAGCAUCUGCCUGCAAUGCAGGAGACCCAGGUUCAAUCCCUGGGUCGGGAA